AACGAACGUUAGCGGCGUGGAUUAGGCAUGCAAGUCGAACGAGAAAGGCUCUUCGGAGCUGAGUAGAGUGGCGAACGGGUGAGUAACGCGUGGGGAACCUGCCCUUGAGUGGGGGAUAACGUUCCUAACGGGACGCUAAUACCGCAUGACACCGGAAUCGGGCAUCCGGAUCCGGUCAAAGAUGGCCUCUGUUUCAAGCUGUCGCUUAAGGAUGGCCCCG
rnacentral:rRNA from 1 species